rnacentral:rRNA from 1 species
UACGUAGGGGGCAAGCGUUGUCCGGAUUUAUUGGGCGUAAAGGGCGCGUAGGCGGUUUCUUAAGUUUGAAGUGACAGUGGGUGGCUUAACUACCCAAGGCCUUUGAAAACUGGGGAACUUGAGGACCAGAGAGGGACAUAGAAUUCCGGGUGGAGUGGUGAAAUGCGUAGAUAUCCGGAGGAAAACCAAAGGCGAAGGCAGUGUCCUGGAGGGUUAACUGACGCUGAGGCGCGAAAGCUAGGGGAGCGAACAGG